UUCUCUCUCAUAUUGUUCUUCUUCUUCCCAUGUAUCAUCGUCGGUAUUUCUCAGCGGAGGCAAUCUUCCCGAUUGGUUUCUCCGCCAUUGUUCCCGACGAGAGGUGCGAUCGACAGCUCCGGCAUUCUUCCCGACAGCUCCGCCAUUAUUGAGGAAAAUGGAUGGUCUUGAAGAUUGUUAUACAUGUGUAUGUAUUCGUUAUGGUGGUAUUUGGGAAAGAAAGGAAGAUGAGUUAUUUGAAUGGAAAGGAGAUGAUGAAAAUGGUAAGACCAUUUCCCAUUGGACUAUUCCUGAUCAUGUAGCGGAGAUGAAAGUGAACCCUCCUAUUGUAAGAGAACGAGGUGUU